rnacentral:rRNA from 1 species
UACGUAGGGGGCAAGCGUUGUCCGGAUUUAUUGGGCGUAAAGAGCGUGUAGGCGGCCAAGCAGGUCCGCUGUGAAAACUCGAGGCUCAACCUCGAGACGUCGGUGGAAACCGUUUGGCUAGAGUCCGGAAGAGGAGAGUGGAAUUCCCAGUGUAGAGGUGAAAUUCGUAGAUAUUGGGAAGAACACCGGUGGCGAAGGCGGCGCUCUGGACCGAGACUGACGCUGAGGCGCGAAAGCGUGGGGAGCAAACAGG